UAGUUUCCUCUGCAUUAUCUUCAUUUGAUUCCAUAGCACCGGAACCGGUCAGGGCCGACUGAUUUUCAUUAUAGUUAUCAUUUUUAGAAUUUUCACCGUCCUCGGCAUUGUCCCAAGUUGCGGAACUCAAGGCUUGUCCUCUAAUAUCAUACGAAGAAGGAUCAGGCGCUUGCUGAGACGUUUCAUUUAAAUCGUCUUCUUGAUUGGCUUCCGCUUCAGCACUGUAUUGUUGGUC